rnacentral:rRNA from 1 species
GUAUCCUAACCGUGCGAAGGUAGCGUAAUCCACUUGUUCUUUAAAUGAGGACUAGUAUGAAUGGCCCCACGAGGGCUGCACUGUCUCCUUUUUCUAAUCAAUGAAACUAAUCUCCCCGUGAAGAAGCGGGAAUUAUCCUAUAAGACGAGAAGACCCUAUGGAGCUUUAAACAAUUGAAACAUUUGCUUUUCUCCUAACUCCUCCCGAGCCCUUUAUUUUUAUUUAAGCAUUAUUAUUUCUAGUUUUAGGUUGGGGUGACCACGGAGCAAAACUAAACCUCCAUGAAGAAAUGAAUAUUUUUAAGCCACAAACUACUUUUUUAAGCAUCAACAAAUUGACCUUCAUUGACCCAAUAUAUUGAUCAACGAACCAAGUUACCCUAGGGAUAACAGCGCAAUCUACUUCAAGAGCUCAUAUCGACAAGUAGGUUUACGACCUCGAUGUUGGAUCAGGGUAUCCUAGUGGG